AACGAACGCUGGCGGCAGGCCUAACACAUGCAAGUCGAACGGAUCCUUCGGGAUUAGUGGCAGACGGGUGAGUAACGCGUGGGAAGCUACCUUGUGGUAGGGAACAACAGUUGGAAACGACUGCUAAUACCCUAUGAGCCCUAUGGGGGAAAGAUUUAUCGCCAUGAGAUGUGCCCGCGUUAGAUUAGCUAGUUGGUAAGGUAAUGGCUUACCAAGGCGACGAUCUAUAGCUGGUCUGAGAGGAUGAUCAGCCACACUGGGACUGAGACACGGCCCAGACUCCUACGGGAGGCAGCAGUGGGGAAUAUUGGACAAUGGGGGCAACCCUGAUCCAGCCAUGCCGCGUGAGUGAUGACGGCCUUAGGGUUGUAAAGCUCUUUCAGCAGUGAAGAUAAUGACAUUAACUGCAGAAGAAGCCCCGGCUAACUUCGUGCCAGCAGCCGCGGUAAUACGAAGGGGGCUAGCGUUGUUCGGAAUCACUGGGCGUAAAGCGUACGUAGGCGGACUGAUCAGUCAGGGGUGAAAUCCCGGGGCUCAACCCCGGAACUGCCUUUGAUACUGUCAGUCUUGAGAUCGAGAGAGGUGAGUGGAACUCCGAGUGUAGAGGUGAAAUUCGUAGAUAUUCGGAAGAACACCAGUGGCGAAGGCGGCUCACUGGCUCGAUAC
rnacentral:rRNA from 1 species